rnacentral:rRNA from 1 species
AGUGCAUCUGGUGGAUGCCUUGGCGAUCACAGGCGAUGAAGGACGUGUAAGCCUGCGAAAAGCGCGGGGGAGCUGGCAAUAGAGCUUUGAUCCCGCGAUAUCCGAAUGGGGAAACCCACCCGCAAGGGUAUCCCGUACUGAAUACAUAGGUACGUGGAAGCGAACCGAGUGAACUGAAACAUCUAAGUAACUCGAGGAAAAGAAAUCAACCGAGAUUCCGUCAGUAGUGGCGAGCGAACGCGGAAUAGCCUGUAUGUGAUAGAGAUUGAGAUAGUGGAAGGACCUGGAAAUGUCCGCCAUAGUGGGUGAUAGCCCCGUACACGAAAUUUCAUUCUUGGUACUGAGCAUACGAAAAGUAGGGCGGGACACGCGAAAUCCUGUCUGAAGAUGGGGGGACCAUCCUCCAAGGCUAAAUACUCGUGAUCGACCGAUAGUGAACCAGUACCGUGAGGGAAAGGCGAAAAGAACCCCGGGAGGGGAGUGAAAUAGAACCUGAAACCGGAUGCAUACAAACAGUGGGAGCCUCGCAAGGGGUGACUGCGUACCUUUUGUAUAAUGGGUCAGCGACUUACGUUCAGUAGCAAGCUUAACCGCAUAGGGGAGGCGUAGGGAAACCGAGUCCGAAUAGGGCGUCUUAGUUGCUGGGCGUAGACCCGAAACCGAGUGAUCUAUCCAUGGCCAGGAUGAAGGUGCGGUAACACGCACUGGAGGUCCGAACCCACUAGUGUUGCAAAACUAGGGGAUGAGCUGUGGAUAGGGGUGAAAGGCUAAACAAACUCGGAGAUAGCUGGUUCUCCCCGAAAACUAUUUAGGUAGUGCCUCAUGUAUCACUUCCGGGGGUAAAGCACUGUUAUGGCUAGGGGGUCAUUGCGAUUUACCAAACCAUGGCAAACUCUGAAUACCGGAAAGUGCGAGCAUGGGAGACAGACGGUGGGUGCUAACGUCCAUCGUCAAGAGGGAAACAACCCAGACCGCCAGCUAAGGUCCCAAAUGAUCAGUUAAGUGGUAAACGAAGUGGGAAGGCCCAGACAGCCAGGAUGUUGGCUUAGAAGCAGCCAUCAUUUAAAGAAAGCGUAAUAGCUCACUGGUCGAGUCGUCCUGCGCGGAAGAUGUAACGGGGCUCAAACUGAUAACCGAAGCUGCGGAUUUGCACGUAAGUGCAGAUGGUAGGGGAGCGUUCUGUAGGUCUGUGAAGGUGUCUCGUAAGGGAUGCUGGAGAUAUCAGAAGUGCGAAUGCUGACAUGAGUAGCGAUAAAGCGGGUGAAAAGCCCGCUCGCCGAAAGCCCAAGGUUUCCUACGCAACGUUCAUCGGCGUAGGGUGAGUCGGCCCCUAAGGCGAGGCUGAAAAGCGUAGUCGAUGGGAAACGGGUUAAAAUUCCCGUACUUUUGUGUAGUGCGAUGUGGGGACGGAGAAGGUUAGGUCAGCGGCCUGUUGGAAUAGGUCGUUCAAGCCGGUAGGCGUGAAGGGUAGGCAAAUCCGCCCUUCUUUAACGCCGAGAAGUGAUAACGAGGGUCUACGGACCUGAAGUGACUGAUACCACGCUUCCAGGAAAAGCCACUAAGCUUCAGCUACACAAGAACCGUACCGCAAACCGACACAGGUGGGCAGGAUGAGAAUUCUAAGGCGCUUGAGAGAACUCAGGAGAAGGAACUCGGCAAAUUGAUACCGUAACUUCGGGAGAAGGUAUGCCUGUUGUGGUGAACACCCUGCGGUGGGAGCUACGACAGGUCGCAGAGAAUCGGUGGCUGCGACUGUUUAUCAAAAACACAGCACUGUGCCAACACGAAAGUGGACGUAUACGGUGUGACGCCUGCCCGGUGCUGGAAGGUUAAGUGAUGGGGUGCAAGCUCUUGAUCGAAGCCCCAGUAAACGGCGGCCGUAACUAUAACGGUCCUAAGGUAGCGAAAUUCCUUGUCGGGUAAGUUCCGACCCGCACGAAUGGCGUAACGAUGGCCACACUGUCUCCUCCUGAGACUCAGCGAAGUUGAAGUGUUUGUGAAGAUGCAAUCUCCCCGCUGCUAGACGGAAAGACCCCGUGAACCUUUACUGUAGCUUUGCAUUGGACUUUGAAGUGGUUUGUGUAGGAUAGGUGGGAGGCUUUGAAGCAGGGACGCUAGUUCCUGUGGAGCCGA